ensembl:lncRNA
GGAGAGACAUAGAGAAGUAGAGACAGAGAGAAGUAGACAGAGAGACAGAGCUAGAGAGACCUAUUGGCAUAGAGACAGAGCUAGAGAGAUCUAUUGGCAUAGAGAUAGAGAGUGUGUGAUUGUUCAACAGCAGCACCAGAUCACUAACAGUAACUGCAUGAGACAUGGUUAUGAAAGUAGUGCACAGGAAAUUGUGACAAAAUGGCGUCGAACAAACUACACGCACAUAUAUCAAUGAAAAGAGACACCUGUCAUCAUUACAUUGCCAUAGUCACUCAACAUCAAUCAGUAUGUCCUUUGCAGGGUCAAUGGUGCACACAUAUCACAUACAUGUGCAUUCUCACAGCUCACAGCUGUUUUUUGUUCAUUAAUACAUUUCAUGUAGGUGUGAGAGCUUGAGAUCAGUUGGUGUGUUCUUUAAUAUUCGGUUCAAAAGUAUGUAUGCACAUGUGUGGUUUGAAGAUAGAUGGGUGAUGAUCGUGGUGUUAUUAAGCUACAGGGAAACUGCAACAGUUAAACAGAGUUGAGCUAACACACGUAACAAAGUCACCUGCCUUCGCUUUUCACAUGUUUCUGUCACAGUAUGAUCACUACACACUUUUUGCAAUAGAGUGAUGCAUAUGUCCUUACCAUAGUCUAUUACACUCUAAAUAAUCAGCUGUUGCAUUCUUUUGUGUUUACCGGAGUCACAGCUUUUUCCACAUCUUCCAUAAUGAAUAGCCCUACAGAGCAUGUUCAGUGUGUCACUAACAUUACAUGCAUGUUCAGUUAGUCACUUUGGGUAAUUUAGCAGUGGUUUGCCCUUCAGAAUGACCGAGUGGACGUCAGCACGGAACAGGUUAAAGUUGAGUGAGAUCAGGAGCUCAAAGUUUGUCCGAGAUAAUAACUCACUUCCUGUUUAGCGGCUUUGCCAUGAAAUUCGAUAAGCUGUAACGGACAAUCGGUUUUGAAAAUAAAAGUAGCAAGUUUGGUUUUGAUAAAUCAAAGUGUUGCUGAGAUAUGACCUCACUUCCUCUUUGCCGGCUUUGCUGCUGAUUUCGAUUAGCUGUGACAGAUGAACCCUCUUGAAAAUCUAAAAUCCAUAUGAUAGCGUCGAUGAAGCUUUGUCAGAAGGUCACCUGGAGCAAAUUCGGUGAAAGUUGGACAAAAUCUGUGGUCUGUGAAGUAGUCGGGAAUGCUGAACUUUCACCCACCACGCAGGAUUGUGUCCUUGCUGACCUUUGGAGCCGUUAUUGCUCUCAGAUGUGGAGAGAAGAAACGGUUACAGGCAGGAAGGGGAACGAGGGGAGAGGCGCUACUUCUGCUGUGAAAGAGCCUACGUGAGGAUCUGUCUAUGCACCUGACUACACACCUCAUUUACCCAAAAAG